rnacentral:rRNA from 1 species
GACGAACGCUGGCGGCGUGCUUAAUACAUGCAAGUCAACUUGACUUUAGAUAGCAAUAUCGAAAAGUAGGGUGGCGCACGGGUGCGUAACGCGUAGGUAAUCUGCCCUGAGGUCUGACAUAACCCGUCGAAAGGCGGGCUAACAUCAGAUGAUAUAUAAUCACGACAUCGUGGAAAUAUCAAAUCUUCGGAGCCUUGGGAUGAGCCUGCGUCUGAUUAGGUAGUUGGCGGAGUAAUAGCCCACCAAGCCUACGAUCAGUAGCUGGUCUGAGAGGAUGAUCAGCCACACUGGAACUGAGACACGGUCCAGACUCCUACGGGAGGCAGCAGUAAGGAAUAUUGCUCAAUGGGGAAAGCCCGAACCAGCAACGCCGCGUGGAGGAUGAAGGUUUUCGGACUGUAAACUUCUUUUCGGGGAGACGAGAAAGGACGGUAUCCCCGGAAUAAGCCACGGCAAACUACGUGCCAGCAGCCGCGGUAAGUCUCG